rnacentral:rRNA from 1 species
UACCAGCUCUCCGAGUGGUAGGGAUGAUUAUUGGGCUUAAAGCGUCCGUAGCCGGCUUAGCAAGUCUCCUGUUAAAUUCAGCGACCUAAUCGUUGAGCCGCGGGAGAGACUACUAGGCUAGGAGGCGGGAGAGGCCGACGGUAUUCUCGGGGUAGGGGUGAAAUCCUAUAAUCCCGGGAGGACCACCAGUGGCGAAGGCUGUCGCUAGAACGCGCUCGACGGUGAGGGACGAAAGCUGGGGGAGCGAACCGGAUUAGAUACCCGGGUAGUCCCAGCUGUAAACGAUGCGGGCUAGGUGUUGGGGUGGCUACGAGCCACUUCAGUGCCGCAGGGAAGCCAUUAAGCCCGCCGCCUGGGGAGUACGGCCGCAAGGCUGAAACUUAAAGGAAUUGGCGGGGAGCACCACAAGGCGUGAAGCUUGCGGUUC